rnacentral:rRNA from 1 species
GAUGAACGCUAGCUACAGGCUUAACACAUGCAAGUCGAGGGGAAACGACAUUGAAGCUUGCUUCGAUGGUCGUCGACCGGCGCACGGGUGAGUAACGCGUAUCCAACCUGCCUCUGACCAAGGGAUAACCCGUCGAAAGUCGGCCUAAUACCUUAUGCAGUCGUCGGAAGUCAUCUGAUGACGACGAAAGAUUUCAUCGGUGAGAGAUGGGGAUGCGUCUGAUUAGCUUGUUGGCGGGGUAACGGCCCACCAAGGCAACGAUCAGUAGGGGUUCUGAGAGGAAGGUCCCCCACAUUGGAACUGAGACACGGUCCAAACUCCUACGGGAGGCAGCAGUGGGGAAUAUUGGUCAAUGGGCGAGAGCCUGAACCAGCCAAGUAGCGUGCAGGAUGACGGCCCUAUGGGUUGUAAACUGCUUUUAUGCGGGGAUAAAGUGAGGGACGUGUCCUUCAUUGCAGGUACCGCAUGAAUAAGGACCGGCUAAUUCCGUG